UUCGCUUUUAAAAUGAUUCUAAGUUCGAUUCUUUGUUUUCUACUCUAAUUUUCACUCAGUCUCUUAUUAUCUUAAGUUUCUCCUCUUUUUCCAAGUAAUGGUUUCUGACUCUUUCGUUAAAAUCACUUCUUCUACUUUCCUGGAGUAUUAGGUUUUGUUUGUGUUUGUCUGUGGAAUCCCACCUGUUGAAUCCCCAAAACCAAGAUUUCGUCGAACAGAAAUAAUAACAAUAAAAGAAGUUGCGACUAGACCCUUAAGAAAAACUUUAAACGAGAGGCUGAAAAAAAGUCAAAAGAAGGAACCUCAAGCAAAGGUCACGGAGUCCAGCUCUGAGUCGUAUCAAUACAUCUCUGCAAGUGAGGGAGAUGAACCUUGGUCUUUUAAAAAUUCUCCGCCUCAAGAAAAUCGAACAGAGGUAAGAUCCCGUCCUGUUUCGGUGAUUGUAGGUGAAAAAGUAGAAAAUAGAUAUGUUUUGGUGGGGGCUUUUAAGAACAUUUCUGGGUAUGAGUAUGUAGAACAAAUGAAGAAAAGGAGGAAGAAGGUGUUAUCUAUCUGUGGGAGUGAAGGAAAUGGGGCAUCACAUUCAGGGGGGAAGUGAAUCUGGGGAAGCUGCUGGAUAUUUCACUACCAGAUUUUGAAUUAAACACGGAAUUCACAAAUUAU
rnacentral:lncRNA from 1 species